AAGUUUUUACACAGAGAUCCUCAUAGUACCUAGAAUUACCGUUUCACCAAUACAUGGUCCCCGACUCAAACACACUUGGUCCCCGUCAACCAUCCGAUUGGAGUUUCGACGGCCGCCACCGUCGCCGCCUCUUCUUCUCAAGUUCCAAUCUUACCUUAACGACGAGAUGAACACUUACAUCACCGCGUUGGUGAAGCCAGAGUGCCCGAUGGUCGAUCGGAACCCGGCGUUCACCAAGGUGGUCAGCAACUUCUCCGGCCUCGACUACCUUCGCCUCUCGACCAUCUCCGCCGCCGUCUCCGUCAAUGUUGGCUACCUCUCCGUUACUGUCAGUCACCCAUCAUGUAUGUUGGAUGGAUCAAAGGGAGAUAAAAAUGCAUAGACCUUGUAGCGAUCAAGUCCUGGAACUGGUAGCAGGCAAGCCAGGCACGCAUCAUGAGUUCAUGGUCAAGACAGGAAGCUUUGGAUACUUCCCCAAGCAUGAGGCAACUGGUGACUGUGCAUCCACGAUUCCACGUGGACAACGACCUCCGGCUCAGGUUCAAAAUCUUGCCUACCGGUAUGAAGAUGCCCAUUUCCUAGGAACGUGUAUGUGUCCAGCGGAACUGGCUGACGGGUACGUCUGUCUGCUGUCCUAGUUUCUACUGAGAACCUGAUUGAUACGUACAUCUCCCGUGCAAUUCCAACUCGAAGGCCAGGCCGAUGAGCUCAUGAGCAGAUUUGGAGUGAUACUUGUAUUGUAGUCUGCCUCAGAUGCAGAUCUUGAAAUUUGCUGUUUCCUACAUCAGCCGCCGGAGCCUGGUUCGUACCUGUUCUGUUAGCACGAGCACGACACGGUUCGCCACAGCUCAGCUACUCAAUUUGUACAGUAGCAUUUUGUUGUUCCUUUUUUUAACUCAAGUUUUGGAUAAUCUUCUCAAAUUGUACUAUUUUGUGUAUCAUCAUUAUAUAGAAAGAUUGAUGUACUGUUAGUGGGUAGUAACUAGAGUACCAAAAGAGCUCUUCAGCGGUGCAGCUUCAUCAAAUUGUUGCUCAGAUCGUGUCAAUCCGUGCGUAUGAGUGCGUUGUGUGGUGAUGCAAAUAUAUAUGUACGUAUAUGAAUUAUAAUAUGUUUUAAAA